AAUGAACGCUGGCGGCAGGCCUAACAAAAGCAAGUAGAGCGGAGCGGCGGACGGGUGAGUAAUUACUAGGAAUCUGCCUGGUAGUGGGGGAUAACGUCCGGAAACGGGAGCUAAUACCGCAUACUAUCAGAUGAGCCUAGGUCGGAUUAGCUAGUUGGUGGGGUAAAGGCCUACCAAGGCGAGGCUCCGGACCUGGUCUGAGAGGAGGAUCAGUCACACUGGAACUGAGACACGGGCCAGACUCCUACGGGAGGCAGCAGUGGGGAAUAUUGUACAAUGGGCGAGAGCCUGAUUCAGCCAGGCCGCGGGUGUGAAGAAGGUCUUCGGAUUGGAAAGCACUUUAAGUUGGGAGGCGUUACCAACAGAAUAAGCACCGGCUAACGUCGUGCCAGCAGCCGCGGUAAUUC
rnacentral:rRNA from 1 species